rnacentral:rRNA from 1 species
UGGUGGAGUGAUUUGUCUGGUUUAUUCCGAUAACGAACGAGACUCUGGCCUGCUAACUAGUGUUCCGAUCUUAUAGUCGGCUUCGCUUCUUAGAGGGACAGGCGGCUUCCAGCCGCAUGAAAAGAGCAAUAACA